GCAAACUUGGUCAUUUAGAGGAAGUAAAAGUCGUAACAAGGUUUCCGUAGGUGAACCUGCGGAAGGAUCAUUAUUGAAACAUUGUAAAGGAGAGUUGAGCUGGUCCUUCAAGGGCAAGUGCUCGCUGUUCUUUCAAUCUUCAUCCACCUGUGCACCUUUUGUAGAGAGUCCGAGAAACUGGGGCCUUUUAAGUAAGGUUUCUAGGUAUUGGGCUCUUUAUGUUUUUAUACACACUAAAUGUAUGUUUAUGAAUGUCUUUUAUAAGGGACUUAACUGGACCUUUUAAAAACUAUACAACUUUCAGCAACGGAUCUCUUGGCUCUCGCAUCGAUGAAGAACGCAGC
rnacentral:misc_RNA from 1 species